rnacentral:rRNA from 1 species
AUGGAGAUGGAGGGUGCCAAGAAGAGGAAACUAGCCGCAAUGGGCAUCAACGAAGCCACGCCGGCGGUUACGGAAGGCCACGAUCCCAAACCACCGACGACGACGGCGGUGAGAAGCCCAGAACCGCCGCCCGGCGACCACAUCAGCAACCUUCCCGACGCCAUCCUCGGUGAGAUCAUCACCCUUCUCCCAACCAAGGACGGCGCUCGCACCCAAGUCCUCGCGUCACGCUGGCGCCACCUCUGGCGCUCUGUCCCUCUUAACAUCGACGUCCGUGACCUCCACGCCUAUGGGAUACAAGAGAAAGCUCUCCUCGGCGUCAUCCUUUCUGCCCACCAUGGGCCCGGACGCCGCCUCUGUCUACCUGCGCCCUAUCUUCUGUACCAAGCAAAAGCAGCGGAUGCCUCAGUUGUUGGAUCCCUUGGAUCCCCCGCCCUUGACAACCUCCAAGAGCUGGAGCUCUACGUGGCCCCUUUGCAAGCCGAAGCCCAUGAUAGAGUUUACCUUGUUGUCUAG